UGUAGCUUUCUUUGAAGUUUGAACUUGAACGUAACCAUAACCCAACUAAAAGAAGCACAACUCCAAAUCCAUUUCAUCUCCACACAGAGGAAAGAGGUGCCGAGAAAGAGAAGAAAUUGAUCAUGGAACUUCUACACAAAGAGUUGGAGGAGGAAAUAGUAAGGAUUCCCAAGGCUAAUCCAUACCCUUAUACCACCGAUUAUCUUGUGAUCCCACCAAAACCAUGAUAGUUAGAAAUUUGAUUAACUGGUUGAAUACCCAAAUUUAUAUAAAGGUCCAAAUUAAUUGGUUGAGCACGAUACCA